rnacentral:rRNA from 1 species
GGGCCCGCACAAGCGGUGGAGCAUGUGGUUUAAUUCGAUGAUACGCGAGGAACCUUACCAGGGCUUAAAUGUAGUCUGACAGCUUUAGAGAUAGAGUUUUCUUCGGACUCUCUACAAGGUGCUGCAUGGUUGUCGUCAGCUCGUGCCGUGAGGUGUCGGGUUAAGUCCCAUAACGAGCGCAACCCCUAUCUUUAGUUGCCAGCGUGUAAUGACGGGGACUCUAACGGAACUGCCGGUGCAAACCGUGAGGAAGGUGGGGACGACGUCAAAUCAUCACGGCCCUUACGUCCUGGGCUACACACGUGCUACAAUGGUCGGUACAAUGGGUCGCCACCCAGCGAUGGAGCGAAUCUUCAAAACCUAUCUCAGUUCGGAUCGGAGUCUGCAACUCGACUCCGUG